rnacentral:piRNA from 1 species
UUUGGGUUGUACUCAUAGAUUGUGUA